rnacentral:rRNA from 1 species
CGCUGAGGCCCCAGGGUGGGACCGCGGCCUAUCAGGUAGUAGGUGGGGUAACGGCCCACCUAGCCUACGACGGGUACGGGCCCUGAGAGGGGGAGCCCGGAGAUGGGCACUGAGACAAGGGUCUAGGCCCUAAGGGGCGCAGCAGGCGCGAAGAUUCCGCAAUGCCCGAAAGGGCGACGGAGUGAACCCGAGUGCCACCCGCUGAGGGUGGCUGUUCCCCUGUGUAAAAAGCAGGGGGCAGGAAGGGGAGGGCAAGGCUGGUGGCAGCCGCCGCGGUAAAACCAGCUCCCCGAGGGGUUCCCACGCAUACUGGGCCUAAAGCGUCCGUAGCCGGCCCUGUAAGUCUGCAGUUAAAUCCGCCUGUAGACAGGCGGGUUGCUGCAGAUACUGCAGGGCUAGGGAGCGGGAGGAGCCGGGGGUAUUCCCGGGGGAGCGGUAAAAUGCGUAGAUCCCGGGAGGACCACCAGUGGCGAGGGCGCCCGGCUUGAACGCGUCCGACGGUGAGGGACGAAAGCUGGGGGAGCAAACCGGAUUAGAUACCCGGGUAGUCCCAGCCGUAAACGAUGCCGGCUAGGUGCUGGCCAAGGUUUCGGCCUUGGCCAGUGUCGAAGCGAAGGCAUUAAGCCGGCCGCCUGAGGAGUACGGCCGCAAGGCUGAAACUUGAAGGAAUUGACGGGGGGGCACCACAAGGGGUGAAUGCCUGCGGCUUAAUUGGACUCAACGCCGGGAAUCUUACCGGGGGCGACAGCAGGAUGAAGGUCAGGCUGAAGACCUUACCAGACGCGCUGAGGGGUGGUGCAUGGCCGUCGCCAGCUCGUGCCGUGAGGUGUCCUGUUAAGUCAGGCAACGAGCGAGACCCCCGCCCCUAGUUGCCAGCGGCCUCCUUCGGGAGGGACCGGGCAAACUAGGGGGACCGCCUCCGAAGAGGAGGAGGAAGGUGGGGGCUACGGCAGGUCAGUAUGCCCCUAAUCCCCCGGGCCGCACC